GGUAACGGGGAAUUAGGGUUCGAUUCCGGAGAGGGAGCCUGAGAAACGGCUACCACAUCUAAGGAAGGCAGCAGGCGCGCAAAUUACCCAAUCCUAAUACAGGGAGGUAGUGACAAGAAAUAACAAUACAGGACUUUUUGGUUUUGUAAUUGGAAUGAGUUAAGUAUAAACCCCUUUACAAGUAUCAAUUGGAGGGCAAGUCUGGUGCCAGCAGCCGCGGUAAUUCCAGCUCC
rnacentral:rRNA from 1 species